rnacentral:rRNA from 1 species
CGGAUCAGGUAGGGAUACCCGCUGAACUUAAGCAUAUCAAUA